UUUGAAACUACACCGUUUUGUAAAUUGAUUAAAAUAGGGUUUAUCUUUUCUAACCCUUUUACCCAUUCACACUACUCUCAGCCGUAUCUCUCUUCUAAACUCUCAUUCUUCUUCAUUUUUUAUUUUUCAAACCUUCAAAAAUCCCAAAACCGACCCCUUUCCUUUGAAACUCGAAACUACAACUUUAAAAACGGGAAAAAAAUUACCUUCGUGAUGGGGUUCUUCUUCUCCGGCGAGGGCUUCCAAAAAUAAGAUGGAUGUUGAUGGACGUGAUCUCCAUAUGGCAAUAUGAUAUUGGCAAUCGUGUUCGGAUUCUAUUUGUUCUAGCCCUUGAAGCGGUACGUGAUUACGUGGAAGUUCAUACACCAUGUGCUCUGUCCUUAACCGCCUAUUUUGCUUCAGUUUAAGAGCUGUGG